CGUGUAGGCGGCUUGGUAAAUCUGGUGUGAAACCUUGGAGCUCAACCCUAAGCGUGCACUGGAUACUGCCUGGCUUGAGUCCGGGAGGGGAGAGCGGAAUUCCUAGUGUAGCGGUGAAAUGCGCAGAUAUUAAAAAGAACACCUGUGGCGAAAGCGGCUCACUGGACCAUUACUGACGCUGAGGCACGAAAGCUAGGGAGUAAACA
rnacentral:rRNA from 1 species